GCGCGGGUGGCGAAAUUGGCAGACGCACUACCUUGAGGUGGUAGCGCCGCAAGGCGUGGAGGUUCGAGUCCUCUCCCGCGCACUA
rnacentral:tRNA from 1 species